rnacentral:lncRNA from 1 species
UAUUUUAUUUUUUAAGACUGAUAUGUUGAUGUGACGAAGAAGGAGGUAAUACAUGAUCGUUCUGAGUGCCACUGGUGGUUCUGAUUUUGCAACUAUUCUGGUUCUCCACCUCUGCUCUUGCGCAGUUCAUUGGUUAUGGAGUGGUUGCUCCCUUAAUCUGCUUGUUCUCCUUUCUGACUGAAUAAGAGGCUGUGUUGAUCCUUUCCUCUCCGGCCUUUUUGCACAUAUCUCCACAUAUGACACUGAAAAUAAAAUGCAUGAAUGUGGAAUAAAGGCUAAGGUGCAGGGUCGGAACUAGCUAAAGAUGAGCUAGCCACUUAGGAUCAGCAAGAUGGAUAAAAAGAAUAAGAAGUCCUGAGUGUAUUCACGUUUCCCUGA